rnacentral:rRNA from 1 species
GGGGAAUAUUGCACAAUGGGCGGAAGCCUGAUGCAGCGACGCCGCGUGGGGGAUGACGGCCUUCGGGUUGUAAACUCCUUUCACCAUCGACGAAGGUUUUCUGACGGUAGAUGGAGAAGAAGCACCGGCUAACUACGUGCCAGCAGCCGCGGCAAUACGUAGGGUGCGAGCGUUGUCCGGAAUUACUGGGCGUAAAGAGCUCGUAGGUGGUUUGUCGCGUCGUCUGUGAAAUUCCGGGGCUUAACUCCGGGCGUGCAGGCGAUACGGGCAUAACUUGAGUACUGUAGGGGGGACUGGAAUUCCUGGUGUAGCGGUGAAAUGCGCAGAUAUCAGGAGGAACACCGGUGGCGAAGGCGGGUCUCUGGGCAGUAACUGACACUGAGGAGCGAAAGCAUGGGUAGCGAAC